rnacentral:rRNA from 1 species
AACGAACGCUGGCGGCAUACCUAACACAUGCGAGUCGAACGAGACCUUCGGGUCUAGUGGCGCACGGGUGCGUAACGCGUGGGAACCUGCCCUUAGGUUCGGAAUAACUCCCCGAAAGGGGUGCUAAUACCGGAUAAUGUCUUCGGACCAAAGAUUUAUCGCCUUUGGAUGGGCCCGCGUUGGAUUAGCUAGUUGGUAGGGUAAAAGCCUACCAAGGCGACGAUCCAUAGCUGGUCUGAGAGGAUGAUCAGCCACACUGGGACUGAGACACGGCCCAGACUCCUACGGGAGGCAGCAGUGGGGAAUAUUGGACAAUGGGCGAAAGCCUGAUCCAGCAAUGCCGCGUGAGUGAUGAAGGCCUUAGGGUUGUAAAGCUCUUUUACCCGGGAUGAUAAUGACAGUACCGGGAGAAUAAGCUCCGGCUAACUCCGUG